rnacentral:rRNA from 1 species
UACGUAGGGUGCGAGCGUUGUCCGGAAUUAUUGGGCGUAAAGGGCUCGUAGGCGGUCUGUUGCGUCGGCUGUGAAAACCCGAGGCUCAACCUCGGGCCUGCAGCCGAUACGGGCAGACUAGAGUUCGGCAGGGGAGACUGGAAUUCCUGGUGUAGCGGUGAAAUGCGCAGAUAUCAGGGAGGAACACCCGGUGGCGAAAGGCGGGUC